AGCCCCGUAGUCUAGCGGUCAAGGAUGUCGGCUUUUGGAGCCGAUGGCCCAGGUUCGAAUUGCAACUAACAACGAAAGUCCUGGCGGGGCUA
rnacentral:tRNA from 1 species